UCUCUCAUUGAUCUGACAGCUUCUCCUGCGGUAGUUCAACAUGCUUCAACGCAGCCGACCCAACAAGGGCUGCGAGAAGAAAAGGGGAACCUAGCAGCUGUUAUGGGACCUAAUGAGUUUUAAAAGCUUUUUAUGUGGCAUUAACCUACAAAAGUAGACCUACAAUGUCUGUCAAAGAAGGCAGGCCAUCAUUCUGAGCGCUUUCAAUCAACCAUAGCGUUUAUUGACAUCUCAUUUCGACAACCAAGAGGGAGUUUGAUUUAUUCUUCUUCUUUGGAUUGAAAUGUCGUUGGAACUGCCUUGCCUCGUUUUCGAUAAAUAAGUACGUUUUCACAAGGGGAUGGUAAGGUAACAAGUUGUUGCUGCUCUUGUCACCGGUGAAAUUGCCGCUGAACUCCCGGAGAAGAAGCAGCAUACACCGGUAUACGGCAACAUUGUUUUGGUAGUCACUUUUUUCAUCCGGAUUCUGUGUGUUGUUGGGCAACCGAAGCAUGUCCCAAAGCAGAAUUAUGGAAUUUGAACAUUUUGAAGACAGGGAGAAGAAACACCGGUCAUCUAAGGCCAGCGCCUCCGGGUCCCACUCCAGUCUGAGGGGUAACGGUCUGGUGCCAAGUCCAGCGCACAGCGCGCACUGUAGCUUCUACCGAGCGCGCACCCUCCAAUCCCUCACGUCGGAGAAGAAAGCCAAAAAAGUGCGUUUUUACCGCAAUGGGGACAAGUACUUUAAGGGCCUGGUGUACGCCGUGUCCAACGACCGUUUUAGGUCAAUGGAUGCCCUGCUUAUGGAACUCACUCGGUCCCUGUCGGACAACGUGAACCUCACCCACGGAGUGCGCGCACUGUACACCGCAGAUGGAAGCAAGAAGAUCUCGAGUCUAGAUCAAUUAGAAGAGGGCGAGAGCUAUGUGUGUGCCUCCAACGAGCCCUACCGUCCGCUGGACUACACCAAGAACGUCCACCCCAGCUGGUGGGUGGGCAAGACGGCCACGUCUCGCUCGCUCUCGGCGCUCUGCGGCGGCGGCGGCGAGCAGCUGCUGCUGCAGCGUGAGUCCAAGGACUUCAUCAAGCCCAAGCUGGUGACCGUGAUCCGCGGCGGCGCUAAGCCGCGCAAGGCCGUGCGCAUCCUGCUCAACAAGAAGACGGCCCAUUCCUUCGAGCAGGUGCUCACCGACAUCACCAACGCCAUCAAGCUGGACACGGGCUUGGUGAAGAGGCUGUACACGCUGGACGGCAAACAGAUGACCUGUCUUCAGGACUUCUUUGGGGAGGACGAUGUGUUUGUCGCCUGUGGUCCAGAGAAGUACCACUACGCCCAGGAUGACUUUGUGCUGGACCCCAGCGGUAAGGCUGCCACAGCCUUCAUGACUGAGUGCCGGGGGAUGAGGUCAUCGUCCCACUCUCGCUCUGCCAGUGCCCACAGAGCCGGGGCCUCCCGGAGCCCGGGGCCCUCCCGACGCAGCAAGUCCCCGGGAGCAGUGAGAAGACCCCUGAACUUCUCCACCAGCCAGUCCCCGCUCAGGUCCCCAGUUAACGGGGGUCCGGGCAGCCAGAUCUCCACUCCAAGGUCCACCAAGUCCUCUAGCCCCUCCCCCACCGGCCCCCACACAAUGCAGGGAUUUAAGGUUCUGCCAUCACACCACGCCUCUGCCCCCAACAUCAACGGCUCCUCCAACCACCGCCGCCACCAGCCCCAGGAACACACCACCCCCAGCCCUGAGGUCAACGGCAACGGCUGUCUGCCCUCCUCGUCCCCCAUCCUGGACAAGUAUGAGGUCGGCAAGGUCAUCGGAGACGGGAACUUCGCCGUGGUCAAAGAGUGCGUGGAGCGGGCAACAGGAAAAGAGUACGCGCUGAAGAUCAUUGACAAGGCCAAGUGCACUGGGAAGGAGCACCUGAUAGAGAAUGAGGUGGCGGUGCUGAGGAGGGUGAAGCAUCCUAACAUCAUCAUGCUGAUGGAGGAGGUGGACAGUCCCACUGAACUCUGCCUGGUCAUGGAGCUGGUCAAGGGGGGGGAUCUGUUUGACGCCAUCACGUCGUCGGCUAAGUACACGGAGCGGGACGCGAGCGGCAUGGUGUACAACCUGGCCGGGGCCCUGAAGUACCUGCACGCCAUGAACAUAGUGCACCGGGACGUGAAGCCAGAGAACCUGCUGGUGUUUGAGUACCCGGACGGCACCAAGUCCCUGAAGCUGGGGGACUUUGGCCUGGCCACGGUGGUGGAAGGGCCCCUCUACACCGUGUGUGGGACCCCCACCUACGUAGCCCCCGAGAUCAUCUCAGAGACCGGGUACGGGCUGAAGGUGGACGCCUGGGCGGCGGGCGUCAUCACCUACAUCCUGCUGUGUGGCUUCCCCCCCUUCAGAAGUGAGAGCAACCAUCAGGAGGAUCUGUUUGAGCAGAUCCUGGAGGGCCGGCUGGAAUACCCCAGCCCAUACUGGGACCUCAUCAGCCACUCCGUCAAGGAGCUGAUUGCCCAUCUGCUGCGGGUGGACCCCGAGGAGCGCUACUCAGCGCAGGACGUCCUGUCCCACCCCUGGAUCACCGCCAACAACAGCAACCCGACCGUGAGCCAUACUGCGUGAUGAUUGGUCCGAACGUGCCCGUGACGUCAGCCACACAGUAUGGGGCGGGCUGGGUGGUUUUUAGUAUGAUGGGUGUCUUCAGUCCAUAGCCUAAGCUGUAGGUGUCCUACAGCCAGAUGACCACCACCUGCUCCUUCAUGAAGCGCUCUGAAUUCACCGCAGGUUUCUUCCUCGAUGAUGAGGUUUAUUUUUCCUUGUCCUUUAGGGGGCUUAGGGUGAGGAGGUUUGGUAGGAUGUGGGCCCUGUGAAGCCCUUUGAGACUGUAACCUGGAAAGAGGGCCAUAUCAAUACAAUUGAUUUGACUGUAAGUCCAAACCACUUUAAGGUGUAAUUUAUUAGUAAUCGCUUUAUCGUGUGUGUCUUUGCCUUUGCCUGUGUGUGUUUGCCUUUGCCUGUGUGUGUUUGCCUUUGCCUGUGUGUGUGUGUGUUUGCCUUUGCCUGUGUGUGUGUGUGUGUGUGUGUGUGUGUGUACGUGUAUGUGUGUGCGUGUGCGCCUGUGUAUACAUGUAUGAUGUGUGUGCAUGUUCAUGCGUGUGCGUGUCCAGGAGCACACAGCCCUAGAGAACAACAUGAAGGUGGAGGUGUCAGGUAAACUGAAGACGCAUUUCAACACGGCGCCAAAGAACAACAACACCAGCGCGGGUGUGUCCAUCAUCAUGAACACGGCCCUGGACAAGGAGGGCAUCCAUCUGACCGGCCCUCGUUGCCAUGGAGACCAAACCAUGCCACUGUCGCCGGGCAAGAGCAUCCCUCCGGCCAAAGUGGUAGACCCCGGCAAAGAAUCGCUGACCCCUCGACCGGCGUCUCCCACCGAACCUGCUGAGCUCCAACCCUCCGGGGAACGGGACCCCUGGGCUGCCCCCCUGGUGGACCCCGGAGAGCCUGAGGCCGCACCGCCCUCACCC